rnacentral:rRNA from 1 species
CGGCGGACGGGUGAGUAAUGCCUAGGAAUCUGCCUGGUAGUGGGGGACAACGUUUCGAAAGGAACGCUAAUACCGCAUACGUCCUACGGGAGAAAGCAGGGACCUUCGGGCCUUGCGCUAUCAGAUGAGCCUAGGUCGGAUUAGCUAGUUGGUGAGGUAAUGGCUCACCAAGGCGACGAUCCGUAACUGGUCUGAGAGGAUGAUCAGUCACACUGGAACUGAGACACGGUCCAGACUCCUACGGGAGGCAGAGAA